rnacentral:rRNA from 1 species
UGUUAAGCCUGCUGCUUAGGGAGUACGGUCGCAAGACUGAAACUUAAAGGAAUUGGCGGGAGAGCACAGCAACGGGAGGAGCGUGCGGUUUAAUUGGAUUCAACGCCGGAAAACUCACCAGGGGCGACUGUUACAUGAAGGCCAAGCUGAUGACUUUGCCUGAUUUUCAGAGAGGUGGUGCAUGGCCGCCGUCAGUUCGUACCGUGAGGCGUUCUCUUAAGUGAGAUAACGAACGAGACCCUCGCCUCUAUUUGCCAUCCUUCUCCUCGGAGAUGGAGCACUAUAGAGGGACCGCUGGCGCUAAGUCAGAGGAAGGAGAGGUCAACGGUAGGUCAGUAUGCCCCGAAUCUCCUGGGCCACACGCGCGCUACAAAGGACGGGACAAUGGGCUGCAACACCGAGAGGUGAAGCCAAUCCCGAAACCCGUUCGUAGUCCGGACUGAGGGUUGUAACUCACCCUCACGAAGCUGGAUUCCGUAGUAAUCGCGGAUCAACAUCCCGCGGUGAAUGUGCCCCUGCUCUUUGCACACACCGCCCGUCAAACCAUCCGAGUUGGGUCUGGAUGAGGG